AACUUUCGACAACGGAUCUCUUGGCUCUCGCAUCGAUGAAGAACGCAGCGAAAUGCGAUAAGUAAUGUGAAUUGCAGAAUUCAGUGAAUCAUCGAAUCUUUGAACGCACCUUGCGCUCUUUGGUAUUCCGAAGAGCAUGCCUGUUUGAGUGUCA
rnacentral:rRNA from 1 species